AUGGGUACCUUUUGACUCUCUUUAGUUCAACUAAAUGAACUAAAAAUUUAAAAUGACACAACUUUUUUAAAAACUAGUUCAUUUGUUUGAACUAAGAAGGGUCACAGGGUACCCUG
rfam:Brachypodium distachyon strain Bd21 chromosome 1, whole genome shotgun sequence.